CGGGGAGAGUUGUCUCUUCUCUAUAAGCGUUCGAGUUCCCUGGAAGCCUCUAGGAGGGAGAUAGGGUUUGGAACGCGAAGAGCACCGCACUUACGGCGGUGUCCGGAUCUUCCCCUCGGACCUUGAAAAUCCGGGCGAGGGCCACGAGGAACACCGCGCCGGCUCGUACCCAUAUCCGCAGCAGGUCUCCAAGGUGAAUAGCCUCUAGUCGAUAGAAUAAUGUAGGUAAGGGAAGUCGGCAAACCCGAUCUGUAACUUCGGGAUAAGGAUUGGCUCUGAGGAUCGUGGCGCGCCGGGCUUGGUCGGGAAGUGGAGCGGUGCCAACGUGCCGGGCCUGGGCGAGGUGAAGGGCGCCCGUCGUCCGGACCCUAGCUCGGUCCCGUGCCUUGGCCACCCACGGACCUUCCUUGCUGCGAGCCUCCCGGCUGUCUAGUUUCCGGCUCAGCCGGAGGACGGGCCGGAAGGCUCUUCGGCCGCCAUAGAACGAUCAACUUAGAACUGGCACGGACCAGGGGAAUCCGACUGUCUAAUUAAA
rnacentral:rRNA from 1 species